UCGGAAUUUUUGUACUUUAAAAAUAAGCCUGGAGAAGCGGGUAAUUUCAAAGAAUAAAAAUGAACUUCUUAAUUGUUAAUAAUUUUAGUACUGGCCAGAUAGUUAAUUUAGUUGACCUUUGAAGUUUUUCUUUAUGAUAAAGAGUGCAAGCAUCUGCGUUUAGAUCGAAACUGGCGUGAUCAUCUGUACCAAAAUCGAGAUGGCAUUGUUGUAGUUGUUUCAGGACGUCGAUCGACACGUGGGAUCGUUUAAUUCAUUAAAAAGAACCCGAAAGAGUUCUUUGUUACUUAGCAGUUAUGAGUUUAUUAAAGAACUUAAUCAACAAGAGUCUUCCGAUGGGGCAGACCUGUCCUAACUUGUGCCAAAAAAGAACGUUUAUCAGCGGUCCGCCGACCCAUUGUGUCUCCACUGGGGAGAAAUGUGUACAUUUCACAACGAUAGGCGUGUCCAUGCUUGUAGUACCGCUGUGGAUUCUAGCUCACAUACGUACCUACAGAGAGAUGAAAAAGUGAUCAUAAUUUUCUUAUUUGGAAUAUCGUCAUUGUAUUUUGAAUUUUGAUUAAUAAAGAAUGACUUGUUAAAA